UUAAGUCGUUGGCGGUUGAAGAUUGUCGUGCGUCUGAUUAGCUAGUUGGUGAGGUAACGGCUCACCAAGGCGACGAUCAGUAGCUGGUCUGAGAGGAUGAUCAGCCACACUGGAACUGAGACACGGACCCGACUCCUACGGGAGGCAGCAGUAAGGAAUAUUGGACAAUGGGCGCAAGCCUGAUCCAGCCAUCCCGCGUGCAGGAUGACACGCCCGUACGGGUUAGUAAACUGCUGUUGGUUAGGGAACGAAACCCCUCGUAUUUAUCGGGGGCUGACGGUACCUUUCGAAUAAGCACCAGCUAACUCCGUG
rnacentral:rRNA from 1 species